CCAUCAUCAUGAACUUUCUCCGUUUGAUCUACCCUGUUACACACCCUCACGUCGCGAGCGCCAGGCCCGAUCCUCUGUGGCCACCGGCCCACAUAGCACGAAGCGUCUAGCGACGCGCGCGCUGGGAUUCGGUGAACCGGUGGGCGCGCGGCCUGGUCUCCCUCUUCUUCCCCGCCCGUUCGGCAACUCAACUCGAGGUCUCCGAUAGUGCGGCCGCUCGUCGACCUCGCCAUCCCUUGGUAUCACAUCGUCGCCCCGGCCCGCCCGAACAAUUUCUAUGGCCGGCGUCGGUGCUGCCUCCCUCUCGUGGCCGAUCGCCAUGCCGUCGCCCGCUGCUACCCGUCGGCUCCGCCGGUCGCCAGGGCCAGCCUCUCGUGCGCGCGCCGCGCUUCUCACGUGUUCCCGUC
rnacentral:lncRNA from 1 species